CCAUAGAUACAGUGGCUUGAAAAAGUAUUCAGCCCCCUUGAACUUUUCCACAUUUUGUCACAUUACAGCCACAAACAUGAAUCUAUUUUGUUGGAAUUCCAACAAAAUAACCAACACAAAGUGGCUUACAAUUGAGAAGUGGAACGAAAAUCCUACAUGAUUCAGAACAUUUUUUACAUAUAAAUAACUGAAAAGUGGGGUGUGCGUAAUUAUUCAACCCUCUUUGGUCUGAGUGCAGUCAGUUGCCCAUAGACAUUGCCUGAUGAUUGUUAAUGACUAAAUAAAGUGCACCUGUGUGUAAUCUAAUGUCAGUAUAAAUACAGCUGCUCUGUGAUGGCCUCAGAGUUGUUUAGGAGAAUUUUGGGAGCAAAGAAGUCCAAAGAACACACCACACAGGUCAGGGAUAAAGUUGUGGAGAAAUUUAAAGCAGGCUUAGGCUAUAAAAAGAUUUCCCAAGCCUUGAACAUCUCAUGGAGCACUGUUCAAUUGAUCAUUCAGAAAUGGAAG